rnacentral:rRNA from 1 species
GACGAACGCUGGCGGCGUGCUUAACACAUGCAAGUCGAACGGAACGGUCCUGCUUUUGUGGGGUGCUCGAGUGGCGACCGGGUGAGUAACCCGUGAGUAACCUGCCCUUGACUUUGGGAUAACUUCAGGACACUGGGGCUCAUACCGGCUAGGAGCUCCUGCUGCAUGGUGGGGGUUGGAAAGUUUAGGCGGUUGGGGAUGGACUCGCGUCUUAUCAGCUUGUUGGUGGGGUAGUGGCUUACCAAGGCUUUGGCGGGUAGCCGGCCUUAGCGGGUGACCGGCCUCAGCGGGACUGGGACUCGGCCCAGACCCCGACUGGUGGGAGCAGCAGGGGUGGGUGCACUAGGGGCGGAAGCCUGAGGCAGCAACGCCGCGGGCGGGAGGGCGACCAUCGGGUUGGAGUCGGCUUGCGCCUGUGACGGAGCGGAAAAGACGAGAAUGGGUAGAGUAACACCGGGUAACUACGGU